UAGGUCUCUUGCUGAGAGUAAGCGUAAGUGCAUUAGUCAACCAUCUCACCUUUAAAUCUGACAGCGUAUCAGAACAAGCCUUUUUCAUUUUCUCAGAAAUAUCGCAGUAUUCGAGGGGGUGGGUAGAUUGGGCAGCAGGGGGUGGAAAAGCACUUACUCGCAGGCAUAGUGCUGCGGGCAGGAUGAGAGGUUGGUGAGGAUUAUUGCGCUAGGCCUUAAUGCAUGGGCCUGACCUCUCCUCCUGCGUCUGUUUAAUGUUGGUGUUUACUCUUGGUUCUACGGACACAAUCCUUGUUAGAAUCAAGCUGCCUUACUCGUUGAGUGUUCUAUCCCGUGCACCGACGAAGUACUCAAACAUUACGGUCAUGUAGUCUUAUCCAUCACACCAGGCUUUUUCGUAGUUCCACACAGGGGUUUAGGUCUCACCCCGCUCGCUUAUUUACAUAUUGCUAACCAUAACCUUCCAUUGCAGUGCAUGAGUGGGAACUGCAGGCCAUACACCGACCGCAAUGCUAAAGCAGAUCGGUUUCCAGAGCCAGUUGUCUUUUUUCAGAAAAAUCUGCAGAAUUGUUUAAACCAUUUGCUAAUAGCCCAAACAUCUAAUUACAGGUGCAAAAGCUUUCUGUACCGCUAUUUCUCGUAUUCUUUACUGACGAUCGUUACAGUUGUUUUCCGAAGGACUACACGUAAGUAAACAGAGCGAGCGAGCUCCUGGAUGUAUGUGCCGCGACGAGAGCUCUUCAAAGACAGAGAGGACGUCUCCUUUGUACCCAGCAUGGGGGUGAGGCAGAGCGGCGCCCUGGGGAAGUAGACCAGGGGAUACGCGUCAUUUUGCCGCUGUGGUUUCUUUUUGAAAAGCAGCAAUGGGUAGAUGGGAGAAGUGAAGAAGGAGAAAGCAGAAGUGGUGGUAAAAGUGCCCCGCCCCCUAUCUCCAGAUGGGCCAGCUGGACCCAUUCCCCCCUCCCCUUCCCUUCCCCACCCCUCUGCAACAGGGCCAGGGUCCAGCAUACAGUGCUUCUUCUGACGGGGUCAACCCUUAACCCUAUCGCCACGGUUGGACAGUCCUGGAAACACCACUCUGGCCAAACAGCACCGACCUCACAGAUGAGACCAACCUCACUGCACCCAGACUGAAAUGUUCUGAAAGUACACCAUCUCUAACGAUUAUUGAAAGUAAUGUGCGUAGUGUGGGGCUCUUCAAGUACAAUUAAAUAAUGAAAUAUAUGGCAAGCUUUAUCUGUUUCCGUACCAUGUCUGCCGUAAUGAUUCCGUCUGUGCCGUAAGCCAAAAUUUUAGCGUACAUUUUCCCUUACAUACGGCUCACUUAAUAAAACAUAAAAUGAAGGUUAAUUAAUUCUAAAUACAUUUAUCCAUCUCUCAAUUCCUCAAACAGUUACCACCACGAGGUCAGUGACACUAAAUAGAUGCUCUGGGGGCACAUUUAUUAUUAUUAUUAUUAUUAUUAUUAUUAUUAUUAUUAUUAUUAGUGUUUGUUUAUUUAUUUUUAUUAUUAUUUUUGGUCUGAGGUAAAACAAAAGAAAGGUUGGUUUUUCGUCUUGCUUGCCACCUCAGUAGAGAGCUAGGGCUUGUUUCUCUGACACAGGAGUGCUGCUCAAUACAAUUCAUUAGACAAGUGCUGACAGGUUUGGCCUCCCUUUGGAAGCUCAUGGGUGACCCCGAGAAUCCUGCCACUGUGGUUUAGCUGUCUUUUCUAUCUGUUAGAUCUGUCUAUCUGUCUUUUAGUGAGAACAAAGUGGACAU